AACGAACGCUGGCGGCAUGCCUAACACAUGCAAGUCGAACGAGACCUUCGGGUCUAGUGGCGCACGGGUGCGUAACGCGUGGGAACCUGCCCUUAGGUUCGGAAUAACUCCCCGAAAGGGGUGCUAAUACCGGAUAAUGUCUUCGGACCAAAGAUUUAUCGCCUUUGGAUGGGCCCGCGUUGGAUUAGCUAGUUGGUAGGGUAAAAGCCUACCAAGGCGACGAUCCAUAGCUGGUCUGAGAGGAUGAUCAGCCAGACUGGGACUGAGACACGGCCCAGACUCCUACGGGAGGCAGCAGUGGGGAAUAUUGGACAAUGGGCGAAAGCCUGAUCCAGCAAUGCCGCGUGAGUGAUGAAGGCCUUAGGGUUGUAAAGCUCUUUUACCCGGGAUGAUAAUGACAGUACCGGGAGAAUAAGCUCCGGCUAACUCCGUG
rnacentral:rRNA from 1 species